rnacentral:rRNA from 1 species
UUGAACGCUGGCGGCAGGCCUAACCCCUGCAAGUCGCGCGGAUGAAGGGAGCUUGCUCCUGGAUUCAGCGGCGGACGGGUGAGUAAUGCCUAGGAAUCUGCCUGGUAGUGGGGGAUAACGUCCGGAAACGGGCGCUAAUACCGCAUACGUCCUGAGGGAGAAAGUGGGGGAUCUUCGGACCUCACGCUAUCAGAUGAGCCUAGGUCGGAUUAGCUAGUUGGUGGGGUAAAGGCCUACCAAGGCGACGAUCCGUAACUGGUCUGAGAGGAUGAUCAGUCACCACUGAAACGAAGACAGGGCCCGGCCUCCAAGGGGAGCCACCGUGGGGAAUAUUUGACCAUUGGCCGAAGCCUGAUCCAGGCCUGCCGGGUGGGGUGAAAAGGGCCUCCGAUUGGUAAGCACUUUAAGUUGGGAGGAAGGGCAGUAAGUUAAUACCUUGCUGUUUUGACGUUACCAACAGAAUAAGCACCGGCUAACUUCGUG